rnacentral:rRNA from 1 species
CCUACGGGAGGCAGCAGUGGGGAAUUUUGGACAAUGGGGGCAACCCUGAUCCAGCAAUGCCGCGUGAGUGAAGAAGGCCUUCGGGUUGUAAAGCCCUUUUGUCAGGGAAGAAAAGGCUGUGGCUAAUAUCCACAGCUGCUGACGGUACCUGAAGAAUAAGCACCGGCUAACUACGUGCCAGCAGCCGCGGUAAUACGUAGGGUGCAAGCGUUAAUCGGAAUUACUGGGCGUAAAGCGUGCGCAGGCGGUUUCGUAAGUCUGUCGUGAAAUCCCCGGGCUUAACCUGGGAAUGGCGAUGGAGACUGCGAGGCUAGAGUUUGGCAGAGGGGGGUAGAAUUCCACGUGUAGCAGUGAAAUGCGUAGAGAUGUGGAGGAACACCGAUGGCGAAGGCAGCCCCCUGGGUCAAAACUGACGCUCAUGCACGAAAGCGUGGGGAGCAAACAGGAUUAGAUACCCUGGUAGUCCACGCCCUAAACGAUGUCUACUAGUUGUUGGGUCUUAAUUGACUUAGUAACGCAGCUAACGCGUGAAGUAGACCGCCUGGGGAGUACGGUCGCAAGAUUAAAACUCAAAGGAAUUGACGG